AACACAGAUGUAGCUACAUACACCUUUGAUUACUGUGACAUAGUUGUUUGCACCUUUCCACAAACACAAUAUGCAGCCAUAUACAAAGACAUACCUAGCAAAAAAGACCCAUACAUCUGUGUGGCAGGGGGUGCAUGGGGACAUUCCUGUAGUUCUUGGAAAGCAGCCGGGUGGAACACAGGUAGAUCAUGGGGAUAUAGACCUCAGAAUGCCUUAGACAGAAUUGACAAAGAUGGGAAAUCACUACUCUCUAGAAUGACCUUAAGUCAACCCCAAUCAAACUUACCCUAAACAUAGAACGCCCCAGUCC